UCCUCCUUCCUCCAUAUCUGGUUUUUCUCUGCCGCGCAACUCAAAACAAAUAAAACACAGCACACACAUCACGCCGCCGCUGCACUUCCUCUUCCUGCCGCGUCGGUCCUCCUCCCCCCCGUCGCUGAGCUCUUCCUCUUCCUGCCGCGUCGGUCCUCCUCUCCACCCGCCACAGCACAAACAUCACAUGCGGUUGCUCUAUAUUGAACUAAUUCAGGGCAAGUUGAUGCAAUCCGUUUGGGGAUCAGCAGAGCAUUACAAAGUUGGGAACCUGGGUUGCGUUAUCUACUCAAUGAAAGAAGGAAGAGAAAGAAAUAGAGGGGUAAGGGGCGAAACUGAAACAAAAAAAAGUUACACAAAAGAGAUAGCAGAAGAAGAAGGGGCACAUUAAAAGCACAGAAAAGAGAAGAAGCCAUGUCGGGAGCUCUGAAAGGAGAAAUAUCUAGACCAAGGACUCAAGGAGGGAAGGAAGAUGAACCAGCCACACGAAUAAAGAAAACCCAAAACUGAAACAAUGAAACAACGGGACCUUAGCUCUGGGUUUUCUGCUCAGGUGUGGGGGAAAGUUUUGUCUUUGUUGCAGUUUCAUAGAGCUCCUGAGGGGUUUUCAGCUGAGUUAACUUGGAUCACUAAGGUCUGCAAGAAAGGGGGCAAAGGCAGAAGCUGAUAGUGCCUUUCUUUGCUGAAAUAGUGUACUCUAUAUGGCUUAAUAGGAAUGAUAAGGUUUACAACAAUCAUUAUUCUACAGGACAGAUGCAGGGCAAAUGCAAACGAAAUGAGCUACGGGUUAUGCCAGGAGCUAACUGGAUCAGACCAGAAUCUUCCCUCUACUAGCAACAUGUCGUCCAGCCUUCAACGGCUUCAGCUAAAAAGGCAAUAACUGAAAAACUAUAUUAACGCUGCUCCUGCAGUAAACAUAAACCCAGCACCACCUAAUUGGAUUCCUGUUUGCCAGUACUGAGACUUAACUGUAUCUGAAU